ACGGGAGGCAGCAGUGGGGAAUAUUGGGCAAUGGGCGAAAGCCUGACCCAGCAACGCCGCGUGGAGGAAGAAGGUCUUCGGAUCGUAAACUCCUGUCCUAAGGGAAGAGGAGAAGACUGUACCUUAGGAGGAAGCCCCGGCUAACUACGUGCCAGCAGCCGCGGUAAUACGUAGGGGGCAAGCGUUGCCCGGAAUGAUUGGGCGUAAAGGGCGCGUAGACGGCCCGAUAAGUCUGAAGUGAAAGUCCUGCCUUCAAGGUGGGAAUUGCUUUGGAUACUGUCGGGCUUGAGUGCAGGAGAGGUUAGUGGAAUUCCCAGUGUAGCGGUGAAAUGCGUAGAGAUUGGGAGGAACACCAGUGGCGAAGGCGACUUACUGGGCCGUAACUGACGCUGAGGCGCGAAAGCGUGGGGAGCGAACAGGAUUAGAUACCCUGGUA
rnacentral:rRNA from 1 species